UCCCAUAUGGUCUAGUGGUUAGGAUUUGGCGCUUUCACCGCCAAAGCUCGGGUUCAAUUCCCGGUGUGGGAA
rnacentral:tRNA from 1 species